rnacentral:rRNA from 1 species
AUUGAACGCUGGCGGCAUGCCUUACACAUGCAAGUCGAACGGUAACAGGUCUUCGGAUGCUGACGAGUGGCGAACGGGUGAGUAAUACAUCGGAACGUGCCUAGUAGUGGGGGAUAACUACUCGAAAGAGUGGCUAAUACCGCAUGAGAUCUACGGUUGAAAGCAGGGGAUCGCAAGACCUUGUGCUACUAGAGCGGCCGAUGGCAGAUUAGGUAGUUGGUGGGAUAAAAGCUUACCAAGCCGACGAUCUGUAGCUGGUCUGAGAGGACGAUCAGCCACACUGGGACGGAGACACGGCCCAGACUCCUACGGGAGGCAGCAGUGGGGAAUUUUGGACAAUGGGCGCAAGCCUGAUCCAGCAAUGCCGCGUGCAGGAUGAAGGCCUUCGGGUUGUAAACUGCUUUUGUACGGAACGAAAAGCCCCGGGUUAAUACCCUGGGGUCAUGACGGUACCGUAAGAAUAAGCACCGGCUAACUACGUGCCAGCCGCCGCGGUAA